ACCAUAAAAGAAUCGUUGUUACUCACAAUGACUGUGGGAGUGUGGGCUGCCACCUCCGAGAAAACCGACUAGUUACUGGAUAUUUUGGGUUCGGCGGCCAUCAAGCCGUGUCAGAUGUUGACCGAUUGGCCAGUCUGUUAAAUCAAGCUUGCAGCAGUCUCUAUGAAAGAGGAGUCUUGGAAGCCCUGCGGGUUUUAAACGACUACAAAUUUUUAUUGCCAAUUCUUGACAUCAAACGUUUUUAAUUUUUUUUUAAUCCACAGGCAGUCGCCUUUAACAGAGAUCAGAAGAAAUUAGUUAAAGGCACGGCUGACAAAUUGAAGACGUGGGCUAUCAAACUCUUGGCGUCGUCAAAGAGCAACAACAGUCGAGAUGUGGUCUUGGACGAGUUCUCGGAAUGGCUGCAACGUUCCAGCAUCGACUGCCGGAUCAAAGACACCAACACCAAUUUGAAAGAGGAUCGCUAACGAGAAAAAAGAGCCUGUCAGUGUUUCAGGGCAGCAACAACAAGAAGGAAAAGAAGAAAAACAAUUCCGCGAAGAAGAUGAUCUCAUUUACGACCCGCGGGAUUGCAACAUUGGAUCAAGGCCGAAACUUUGGACAUGGAUUACCUCUGUCUCGGUUGUCAUCUGGAAAUUAUGGACCCGUGUAAUUCACUUAAGCGCUUUAUUUAAUUUGGAAUAAAUUGAACAUUGAUCCAUGUCCGUCGUCAUGCAAAAGACGCCGUGGUAUUGCUUCCCCUGGGCCAGUUUCACGGCAGAAUCUCACGGCCUCCUUCAGCCUCGCUCCUACUGGGCCUUAAAGCUGAAAAGCUUCCUCCACCAAAAUGUAUAGCCUACCCAUCAACAUCUGACCAAGAAACAGCAACCUGCUCUUUGCAUCGUCGUACUCCUCGACAAUCUCGGAGCCGUCAACUACGCUUUUAAUUCACUGCGACUUGAAUUGGAGUAUGGAGAGGUUUUUUUCGAUUUUUUCCACGUCAAGAAUUACAUCGAACGCAACAACGAGGAAACAAUGUGGGCUGUGGAGAAUGUCGCCAUCAGUUACCACAUAACCAU